rnacentral:tRNA from 1 species
GGGCGCGUAGUUCAGUGGCAGAACGCUAAACUGAUAAUUUAGAGGUCGGAGGUUCGAUCCCUCCCGCGCCCACUA